AUGAUGUUUUAAUUGUGGGAAAACUACUUAAACUGUUAAUCGGGUUACAUUAACUGCAAUCACCUUAUGAAAGUGGCACAACAAAUGAGUUUGAUUAAUGCACUUCUGCCCGUUGUGUCAGAUUUGUAUUGCCUGUUCACAUUCUUAUCUUUCUUCGGAACGUAAUCAAGCAAAACUCAUUCAAGCACGAAACUGGAGAUGUUUUCGCGAAACUCAUAAUGUAUCCAAAUUUUCAUCCAUCCAACAAACCAAAGUGAACAGAAGAUGAUUGCAAAACAAGUGAAAUCGCA